UACAGGGGGUGCAAACGUUGCUCGGAAUUAUUGGGCGUAAAGCGCGCGUAGGCGGCUACUUAAGUCGGAUGUGAAAGCCCUUGGCUCAACUGAGGAAGUGCACCCGAAACUGAGUGGCUUGAGUACUAAAGAGGGUCGCGGAAUUCCCGGUGUAGCGGUGAAAUGCGCAGAUAUCAGGAAGAACACCCGUGGCGAAGGCGGCUCUCUGGGACGGUACUGACGCUGAGACGCGAAAGCGUGGGGAGCGAACAGG
rnacentral:rRNA from 1 species